UCAGAUCACCCUUUUUCCUGCAUUUUUAAGUGAUGGCAGUCCUUUCUGCCUCUGAAUUGCAACCAGGCUACCCGAUUCUAUGGGACUGACAACAAGAGCCCUUCUGAGGUAUAUGUCUAAUGGUGGAAGUUCUGGAUCAAAGGAUAUGAACAGUUGAGUCACUUUGCUCAAAUAAUUCCAAAUUACAGCAUGACUGGACCAAUUCACAGUUCCACUGACAGCGACAGCUAACAAUUUGCAGUAUGGCUAACAUCAAUACAAGAAAACACCAAAAUCAAAACAAAACAC